CUAACCCGGGCUGCGUCCUCCUGUCUUGCAGGAUCACAACUGCCCCAAGGAAAAGCCCGUACUGCAGGUUGAGGCUGCGAGCUUGUGCUGAGAUCUGUGCUUUCACUUUCGGUUUGAGACUCUCCUCGGGAACCUAAUUUCUCUCCCCGUCUGCGCUGAUCUCCCCCCUGGCCCCAGAACCAACCUUUUUUGGCGAGACUGCAGAUUUUCUUCGGCCUACCUAAUAAAUGGCCAUUUCCUGUCUGUGAAGGACAUCAGCUUUGUAUCCUAUUCGCAUAUUUCAUACCUAACAAAUCAUCUGAAUAGCUCUUGGAAUGGGACACAGUUGAAAUGAAAGCAUGUGAGAAAAAAGAAAAAAAAGGAUAAUGAAAAAGAAAUGCAUGAGGAAGGAGAAUUAAAGAGAGAAUGAAGAAGUAAAGAAAAGAAAGAAGGAGCAAAGAAGAGAAGGAAGGAUGAGACAUGAUGAGGAAAGGAAGAAUAGCACCAGGAAAAAAGGGCAUGAAGGAAGGAAGGAAAGGAGUGACAGAGAAAAGAUGAUUACAUGACAUAACUAUGAAGAAAAUGUAUGUAUUAGGGACUGGUUUUGUAAUGAUACUAUUCUUAUGAAAUUGUUCAUUUCUAUGCCCUGUGAAAAUGGAAUGUUUAAUGACUUUACUAAUAACCUUAAUUUGCUCAAGCUCCUUUAUAAUGCAGACAAAGAAAGUCAAGGGAUCAGAUAAAACUGAACAUUCUUUGCUGAGUGUAUUGGACGUUCCUUGUGUUACUGACAUACCGAACCCAGAACUUCCCUUGUUAUGUGAGAUAACCUAUUCAGACUGGUUGAUCUCAACUUCCAGUUCUGAAAAACAAUCCAGCCCAAAGAAGACUUGAUAAAAGCAUUAUGCGAUUACACGCCCACACAUACACACUCCAAUUUUUGUCUUUAUAACCCCUGCUCCUUCUUGUCACCUUAAGCUUGGUUUGAAUUGUGCUCCUAUCUAUACAAGUCCUUCUACUUAGGAGGAAUAAAAAUCUACAG
rnacentral:lncRNA from 1 species